rnacentral:rRNA from 1 species
AUGAACGCUGGCGGCGUGCUUCACACAUGCAAGUCGCACGGUGAAGGCGGAGCUUGCUCUGCUGGAUCAGUGGCGAACGGGUGAGUAACACGUGAGCAAUCUGCCCCUGACUCUGGGAUAAGCGCUGGAAACGGCGUCUAAUACUGGAUACGAGCUGCGAAGGCAUCUUCAGCAGCUGGAAAGAAUUUCGGUCAGGGAUGAGCUCGCGGCCUAUCAGCUUGUUGGUGAGGUAAUGGCUCACCAAGGCGUCGACGGGUAGCCGGCCUGAGAGGGUGACCGGCCACACUGGGACUGAGACACGGCCCAGACUCCUACGGGAGGCAGCAGUGGGGAAUAUUGCACAAUGGGCGAAAGCCUGAUGCAGCAACGCCGCGUGAGGGACGACGGCCUUCGGGUUGUAAACCUCUUUUAGCAGGGAAGAAGCGAAAGUGACGGUACCUGCAGAAAAAGCGCCGGCUAACUACGUG